rnacentral:rRNA from 1 species
GAUGAACGCUGGCGGCGUGCCUAAUACAUGCAAGUCGAGCGAACAGACGAAGAGCUUGCUCCUUCGACGUUAGCGGCGGACGGGUGAGUAACACGUAGGUAACCUACCUAUAAGACUGGGAUAACUUCGGGAAACCGGAGCUAAUACCGGAUAAUAUUUCGAACCGCAUGGUUCGAUAGUGAAAGAUGGCUUUGCUAUCACUUAUAGAUGGACCUGCGCCGUAUUAGCUAGUUGGUAAGGUAACGGCUUACCAAGGCAACGAUACGUAGCCGACCUGAGAGGGUGAUCGGCCACACUGGAACUGAGACACGGUCCAGACUCCUACGGGAGGCAGCAGUAGGGAAUCUUCCGCAAUGGGCUAAAUCCUGACGGAGCAACGCCGCGUGAGUGAUGAAGGUCUUCGGAUCGUAAAGCUCUGUUAUUAGGGAAGAACAAACGUGUAAGUAACUGUGCACGUCUUGACGGUACCUAAUCAGAAAGCCACGGCUAACUACGUG